rnacentral:rRNA from 1 species
AUUGAACGCUAGCGGGAUGCCUUACACAUGCAAGUCGAACGGCAGCGCGGACUUCGGUCUGGCGGCGAGUGGCGAACGGGUGAGUAAUGUAUCGGAACGUGCCCAGUAGCGGGGGACAACCACUCGAAAGAGUGGCUAAUACCGCAUACGCCCUACGGGGAAAGGGGGGAUCGCAAGACCUCUCACUAUUGGAGCGGCCGAUAUCGGAUUAGCUAGUUGGUGGGGUAAAGGCCUACCAAGGCGACGAUCCGUAGCUGGUUUGAGAGGACGACCAGCCACACUGGGACUGAGACACGGCCCAGACUCCUACGGGAGGCAGCAGUGGGGAAUUUGGACAAUGGGGAAACCCUGAUCCAGCCAUUCCGCGUGUGCGAUGAAGGCCUUCGGGUGUAAGCACUUUGGUCGAGGAAAGAAAUACGUGU